rnacentral:sRNA from 1 species
UCAUGACUUUUGGGCUUCGAAACGCGGG